UGGUGAUGGAGGCGGCGGUGGUGAAGUCUGUGGUGAUGGAGGCGGCGGUGGUGAAGGUUUUGGUGAUGGAGGCGGUGGUGGUGAAGGCUGUGGUGAUGAUGGAGGCGGCGGUGGUGAAGGUUUUGGUGAUGGAGGCGGUGGUGGUGAAGGCUGUGGUGAUGAUGGAGGCGGUGGUGGUGAAGGCUGUGGUGAUGGAGGCGGCGGUGGUGAAGUCUGUGGUGAUGGAGGCGGCGGUGGUGAAGGUUUUGGUGAUGGAGGCGGUGGUGGUGAAGGCUGUGGUGAUGAUGGAGGCGGCGGUGGUGAAGUUUGUGGUGAUGGAGGCGGCGGUGGUGAAGGUUUUGGUGAUGGAGGCGGUGGUGGUGAAGGCUGUGGUGAUGAUGGAGGCGGUGGUGGAAAGGCUGUGGUGAUGGAGGCGGCGGUGGUGAAGGCUGUGGUGAUGGAGGCGGCGGUGAUGGAGUCUGUGGUGAUG
rnacentral:lncRNA from 1 species